CUACGGGGUGCACCAGUGGGGAAUAUUGCACAAUGGAGGAAACUCUGAUGCAGCAACGCCGCGUGGAGGAUGACACUUUUCGGAGCGUAAACUCCUUUUAUAUAGGAAGAAGAUGACAGUACUAUAUGAAUAAGCGCCGGCUAACUCCGUGCCAGCAGCCGCGGUAAUACGGAGGGCGCAAGCGUUACUCGGAAUCACUGGGCGUAAAGAGCGUGUAGGCGGAUUAAAAAGUCAGAAGUGAAAUCCUAUAGCUUAACUAUAGAACUGCUUCUGAAACUCUUAAUCUAGAAUAUGGGAGAGGUAGAUGGAAUUUCUGGUGUAGGGGUAAAAUCCGUAGAGAUCAGAAGGAAUACCGAUUGCGAAGGCGAUCUACUAGAACAUUAUUGACGCUGAGGCGCGAAAGCGUGGGGAGCAAACAGGAUUAGAUACCCCUGUAGUC
rnacentral:rRNA from 1 species